AUGAACGCUAGCGACAGGCUUAACACAUGCAAGUCGAGGGGCAGCGGGGGUAGCAAUACCCGCCGGCGACCGGCGCACGGGUGAGUAACGCGUAUGCAACUUACCUAUCAGAGGGGGAUAACCCGGCGAAAGUCGGACUAAUACCGCAUGAAGCAGGGAUCCCGCAUGGGAAUAUUUGCUAAAGAUUCAUCGCUGAUAGAUAGGCAUGCGUUCCAUUAGGCAGUUGGCGGGGUAACGGCCCACCAAACCGACGAUGGAUAGGGGUUCUGAGAGGAAGGUCCCCCACAUUGGUACUGAGACACGGACCAAACUCCUACGGGAGGCAGCAGUGAGGAAUAUUGGUCAAUGGCCGAGAGGCUGAACCAGCCAAGUCGCGUGAGGGAUGAAGGUUCUAUGGAUCGUAAACCUCUUUUAUAAGGGAAUAAAGUGCGGGACGUGUCCCGUUUUGUAUGUACCUUAUGAAUAAGGAUCGGCUAACUCCGUGCCAGCAGCCGCGGUAAUACGGAGGAUCCGAGCGUUAUCCGGAUUUAUUGGGUUUAAAGGGUGCGUAGGCGGCCUUUUAAGUCAGCGGUGAAAGUCUGUGGCUCAACCAGAGAAUUGCCGUGGCAACUGCGGCCCUUGUCUAUGCUUGCGGCAUGCGGAAUGUGUGGUGUAGCGGUGAAAUGCAUAGAUAUCACGCAGAACCCCGAUUGCGAAGGCAGCCUGCCAAGCCAUGACUGACGCUGAUGCACGAAAGCGUGGGGAUCAAACAGGAUUAGAUACCCUGGUAGUCCACGCAGUAAACGAUGAUCACUAGCUGUUUGCGAUACACUGUAAGCGGCACAGCGAAAGCGUUAAGUGAUCCACCUGGGGAGUACGCCGGCAACGGUGAAACUCAAAGGAAUUGACGGGGGCCCGCACAAGCGGAGGAACAUGUGGUUUAAUUCGAUGAUACGCGAGGAACCUUACCCGGGUUUGAACGCAUUCGGACCGAGGUGGAAACACCUUUUCUAGCAAUAGCCGUUUGCGAGGUGCUGCAUGGUUGUCGUCAGCUCGUGCCGUGAGGUGUCGGCUUAAGUGCCAUAACGAGCGCAACCCUUGCCACUAGUUACUAACAGGUAAAGCUGAGGACUCUGGUGGGACUGCCAGCGUAAGCUGCGAGGAAGGCGGGGAUGACGUCAAAUCAGCACGGCCCUUACAUCCGGGGCGACACACGUGUUACAAUGGCGUGGACAAAGGGAAGCCACCUGGCGACAGGGAGCGAAUCCCCAAACCACGUCUCAGUUCGGAUCGGAGUCUGCAACCCGACUCCGUGAAGCUGGAUUCGCUAGUAAUCGCGCAUCAGCCAUGGCGCGGUGAAUACGUUCCCGGGCCUUGUACACACCGCCCGUCAAGCCAUGGGAGCCGGGGGUACCUGAAGUCCGUAACCGCGAGGAUCGGCCUAGGGUAAAACUGGUGACUGGGGCU
rnacentral:rRNA from 1 species